UACAGAGGGUGCAAGCGUUAAUCGGAAUUACUGGGCGUAAAGCGUGCGUAGACGGUUAUGUAAGUUAGGUGUGAAAGCCCCGGGCUCAACCUGGGAAUUGCAUUUAAGACUGCAUAGCUAGGGUGCGGAAGAGGGGAGCGGAAUUUCCGGUGUAGCGGUGAAAUGCGUAGAUAUCAGGAGGAACACCUAUUGCGAAGGCAGCUCGCUGGGACGUAACUGACGCUGAGACGCGAAAGCGUGGGGAGCAAACAGG
rnacentral:rRNA from 1 species